CAAAGGUUUGGUCCUAGCCUUUCUAACAACUCUAGCCUAACUUACACAUGCAAGUAUCCGCACUCCCGUGAAAAUGCCCUACAGUCCCCUGCUUGGGAACAAGGAGCUGGCAUCAGGCACAUCCUUUUCAAGCCCACGACGCCUUGCUUAGCCACACCCCCAAGGGAAUUCAGCAGUGAUAAAUAUUAAGCCAUAAGUGAAAACUUGACUUAGUCAAGGCUAAGAGGGCCGGUAAAUCUCGUGCCAGCCACCGCGGUUAUACGAGUGAGCCCAAGCUGUUAGACACCGGCGUAAAGCGUGGUUAAGAUGCCCCAAAUACUAAAGCCGAACGCCUUCUAUACUGUUAUACGUUCCCCGAAGGUAAGAAGCCCAAUCACGAAAGUAGCUUUAAAUAUAUCUGAAUCCACGAAAGCCAGGACACAAACUGGGAUUAGAUACCCCACUAUGCCUGGCCGUAAACAUAGACAGUCCACAUACCCCACUGUCCGCCCGGGGACUACGAGCAUUAGCUUAAAACCCAAAGGACUUGGCGGUGCUUUAUACCCACCUAGAGGAGCCUGUUCUAGAACCGAUAACCCCCGUUCAACCUCACCCUUCCUUGUUCUUCCCGCCUAUAUACCGCCGUCGUCAGUUUACCCUGUGAAGGCCCAAUAGUAAGCAAAAUCGGCACAGCCCAAAACGUCAGGUCGAGGUGUAGCGUAUGGAAGGGGAAGAAAUGGGCUACAUUCCCUAUCAUAGGGCAUACGGAUGAUUACGCUGAAACGCAUAUCUGAAGGAGGAUUUAGCAGUAAGCAGAAAGUAGAGUGUUCUGCUGAAGCCGGCUCUGAAGCGCGUACACACCGCCCGUCACUCUCCCCAAGCUAGCACAUUAAAACUAAUUAAAACACCACAACUGCAAAGGGGAGGCAAGUCGUAACAUGGUAAGUGUACCGGAAGGUGCACUUGGAAUCAAAUACAA
rnacentral:ncRNA from 1 species